rfam:Dipodomys ordii contig_24421, whole genome shotgun sequence.
GGUGGCUCAGUGGUAGAGCGCUUGCCUAGCAUGCAUGAAGCCCUGGGUUCAAUUCCUCAGUACCA